CGCGUAGGCGGUCUGAUAAGUCAGUUGUGAAAGCCCGGGGCUCAACCCCGGAAGUGCAAUUGAAACUGUCAGGCUUGAGUAUGGUAGAGGGAAGUGGAAUUCCUGGUGUAGCGGUGAAAUGCGUAGAUAUCAGGAGGAACACCGGUGGCGAAGGCGGCUUCCUGGACCAAUACUGACGCUGAGGCGCGAAGGUGUGGGUAGCAAACA
rnacentral:rRNA from 1 species